AUUGAAUAGAAACAGUCUGGGCUAAAAUCACAGCCCAAAGAGCCAAAAAAAAUUACAAGAUAAGCACUAUUUAACUAAGGUGUAGGUAGGAUUGAGCAAUGAACCAGGCCCACCCGAAAACCCGACCGAUCCGACCAGUUUUGGGCGGGUCUGAAAAUAUUCGGGUCGGAUUUCGGGUCUUAUUUUUGGGUUUGGGUCGGUAUCGGGUCAUACAUAUAGUCUGAACCCGAUUUUUUUUUGUUGAACGGUCUCUCUCUCCGCCUCCCUCAGCUACCUCCCAAGUGUCAAUCUCACAAAACAUCACAGCCGACUCUUCGUUGUUCUAUCUCAGAAAUUGCUCAACCAAGAAACAAUGGCUGUUCCUUUGCUGACAAAGAAGAUUGUUAAGAAGCGUGUGAAGCAGUUCAAGCGCCCACAAAGUGACAGGAAGAUUUCUGUCAAGGUAUAUUGCAAAUGUGCAGAUUAGCAAGAAUAAGCAACACCAAUAUAGAACUGCAGCGUUGGAUGUGUGGGAAAAACUAGAGGAUUUUGUUCAGUCACAAUCACAUUCUUGAUGUGCACCGGCUUUUUACCAAUAGAUAGUUUGCUUGAAAAAUCAAUUACCCAUAUUUACAAAUUUGGAUAGUCUGGAGUUUAUGUCAAAAGUUGGUACUUUGAUAAAAAUAAGUAGGGCAUUGUAGUUGACAUUGUUUAUUUUAGUUGAGGGUGUGUAGGACAUGAGAGGUAUAAGGUUGGUUAGGGUAUGUGUUACGAAAUGCAACGAUUGUGAGAAAAACAUAAUAACUGAGUGUUGAAUUUAGGAUAGUAUGGAUAGGUUGUGGAGAUCCAACUCCUCUAUCAGCUCCAGGACUAGUUGUCCUCCUGAUAUUGUAAAUGAAGAAGAUCACACUAUUGAUGAUAAUGAGUUGAUCCCUGAUUUUCGUAA